CAGAUUGAACGCUGGCGGCAUGCCUAACACAUGCAAGUCGAACGGGAGUAGCAAUACUCUAGUGGCGGACGGGUGAGGAAUACGUAGGAAUUUGCCCUUAAGUGGGGGAUAACCCGGGGAAACCCGGAUUAAUACCGCAUGACCUCGAAAGAGCAAAGUGGGGGAUCGCAAGACCUCACGCUUUUGGAGAAGCCUACGUCGGAUUAGCUAGUUGGUGAGGUAAUGGCUCACCAAGGCGACGAUCCGUAACUGGUCUGAGAGGAUGAAUCAGUCACACCGGAACUGAGACCACGGU
rnacentral:rRNA from 1 species